rnacentral:lncRNA from 1 species
AGAUUUGGCAGACAUCCUUUUUUUUUUUUUUUGGUCUUCAUCCUGAUGUGACAGGAACCAAAAAUUCUAUGUUCAAAUUUGCCAGCAGUUUUUCCUCAUUACCAGAAGUUGGACCCUGACAUGGUUGAAACCAAAAAAAUUUCCAUUUUGGAUUUGCCUGAGUCCUCAGCUGGGUCCUUGGGGGAGAGAGGCAGCGGGUGCUGGCCUAGAGGAGCAGAGUGAGAGACAGCAAAGCCAACAGGAUGGAGUUGGAGAACAAGGUCUUACGCCCAUGGAGCCCCUGGAAUGCGAGAGUGGGGCUGGGGGCAGUGAUGGAUUACUUGGGAAAGCGUGACCUAAAGGGCUGGAAAACACCGGACGCCGAGAGUACACAAGACAUCCCUGAUGGACCACUCCACUGGAGGAAGUCAGCCUGAGCUCCGGCGACUACCUUUGCCCCCAAGCAGGACCAUGCCAGGUCAAGAGAGGGAGAGACAUAGUUUUCUUAUGGGAGCCCGGCUAUACCUGAAGCUGUCCCUGGAAUUCACUGCCUAAGCCACUUUGAGGAUUUCCUGUCACUGACAACUAAGAGGCCAGAAUAAGGGUAUCCUUUUAGCAACAGCAUUAAAAAAAAAAUGAUCUUCCUGGAAAAAAAACUGGCUUGGUAGUUUUGCGUAUUCUAUAUUGAAUUGAUCAAUUAGAUAUAUGAACAUGAGUGAGAUAGUUCAAAGGAUGCUGUUCAGAAUUACGCAAGCCAUAUUUGAGUGUUUUAAGUUGAUGCAAGGUUCAUAAUACUCAAGCAACAAUUGGGCAAAGGAAGCACAAGGAACAGGGAUUCCCAUGUAGUGUCUAGAUCAUCAGGAAAAUAUCGCUGGUUGUUCAGUGGGUAGCAAGUGAAGGCAAUUAACUAGCUCUAUCAACUCCUUAAACCAACUACACAGUGAAGGAGGCAGAGAAGAGAAGUAGAGCAGGCUGGGAACAUUUACAUUCCACUGCGGUUGUCAGGAACACCCGCUUUCCUUACCCAGAGCGGACACAGUUCUUGUCCAGCUCAGAGGCUGUCCACUGACAGCAGGUGAUCGGCUUC